UGGACGGAAUUCUGAUAAGGGA
rnacentral:miRNA from 1 species